rfam:Ovis aries breed Texel chromosome 6, whole genome shotgun sequence.
UCCCUGGUGGUCGAGUGGUUAAGACUCCCUGCUUCCAAUGCAGAGGGUGCAAGUUUGGUCCCUGUUUGGGGAG